CUCUCAACUGAGUUGAGAGGAAAAAUUUGAAAGAUUUCUUGUGAGGCAUAUUUUGUGAGGCUAUUCUUGCUCAAACCUCAUAAGAAGAAAGCUUAAAAAAGUCACCACGUGAGGUAAAAAGCUUUUUGUUGUCAAACAGCUGUUUUAAUAAAAAUAAGCAAACAAAAAUGGACACAACAAUGGAUAAUCAGCAUAUGCGUAAAGGACAACUCAGGAGCAGCUGCAACAUUACAUAAUGUUUUGCAAGCAGCAUUCUGAGUUGCAACGGGGGAAGCUAACUCCGACAAACCCUCAAGGGCUGCAAAUACUUUGGUCGGAGUUAGCAGAUAAUUUAAAUGCUUUAAGAGGUCCAACUCGGUCGGCAGCCAAGUGGAGGGAGUCAUUGAUGCAUUCGAAACAUUAGUUGCGAGCGCGCAAACUGAAGGCACAUGCGCAAGCGACUGGUGGAGGCCCUCCGAUAAAUGGAAUGACUGAAUUCGAGGAGCAAGCAAUUUCAAUGCCGGGUGUUGCGACUUUGGGUCACCAGGUUUUGCCGUUGUAUUUAAAUACAGCUCAAGCUCCAGCUUCCUCGCCAACACCAACAGUCGCAUCGCCUGCUCCAGCCUUUCCUGCUAUGUUUACAAAUUUUUCUUCCUCGCCAUCACCUCAUUUUUUUCCUCACUAUCUCCUCCAUCUUCUUCCUUAUCUCCUCCCAUCUUAUCUUCUCCUAUGCCAUCGCCUUCUUACAUUCCUUCUGAAAAAUUUGCUGCAGCGAAGAUGCUUGGGACAGUGAAUGGAGGAUCUAGAAAAGCGAGAGGAGGAGGCCAUUGCUCUACAAAGGAAAAUUGUAGAGUAAAAUGUGCAGAUGACAUGAUAAUAAAAAUGUAAAAAAAUAAAAAAAAUGAAAUAAAAAUGUAAAAAAAUAAAGAAAUGAAAUAAAAUAAAUGAAUUAUUUGAUAAAUGAAAUAAAAUAAAAUGAAUUAUUUAUAAAAUGAAUUAUUAUGUAGAUGUCUUUUUAUUCAUUCUUAGAGGAAGUAAAAUGUACAGAGACAGUAAGUACGAGUAACUUACAUAUCUAUAUCUAUAUCUAUACUAAUUAUAUAAAAUCGCUUAUAUGAAAAAUGUUUGUAACGGCUAAUCUCCUAAAGUUCUGAAGCGAUUUUUAUAAUUUUUUUUUUUUAAAUAAAGCAUUUGCUCUAGGCUCGCGAGUGGCAUACUUUUUUUUUUUAAUUUUCCGAAAUCAAAUCCUUUUUCUUUCGGGUUGAAGUUUUUGAAAAACCAAAAAUAUUGCAAGCAUAAGGUUUUUCGUUCACCAAACGCAGUCUACAGCAAAGCGCGCUUUGUGUGUGUGCGUGUGCCCUUGAUCGUUUGCGGCACGCACUCUCUCUCUCUUCCAUCUCUGCACAUCUUUUCCAGCAUAACGUAAUGAAGUAAAGUACAUACAUAUGUACAUAUGUAUGCACUCUCUCUUCCAUCUCUCACAUCUUUUCUACAUAACUUAUUCAAGUAAAGUACAAAGCAAAAAAGUUUGCAUAUUUAAAUGAUCGCAGGACAAGUGAAAUAACGCUAAACAGCACAAUCAAAUGCUCGCAUAAAUUGCCGUAUGUAUGCAUGUAUGUAGAUCAGUGACGCGCUUUGCCUAGCCCGCGGGCGGCCGAAUUUAUUGCUCUCUCACAGAUUCGCUCACACGUAUUAGUCAAGCGCUCUCUAUACAUUGUGGAAAAUUAAUGUUCAUUUGAAAAUCACUUGAUCAACGACUGUUGACUGCUACGCAUAUAAUUUGUAUGUACGCGCUGAUGAACAAUUUUGGUCCAAAACCAUGAAAAUAUUGAUUUUUAGUUUUUUGAUACAGCCGUUUAGGUAAAAACUUUAACAUAAAUUCAAUAUUAAAAUUUUUUUGAAUUUUAAUUUCUUUUUGACACGUGAUUUGUCUUUAUUUUUGUAAUUGAUAAAAAAUUAAUAAGGAAUUUCAUUAAUUUCACAAUUUUGUAAAAGUUGUCGAAUCACUUUAAAAAUUUUUUAUAUUAAUUAAUACUAAAGUUUUGUAUUUUUUUUGGGUGUAGCAGCAAGCUCUCUCAUACUCCAACACAAGCACACAGUUUGGUAGUGUGCGUUUGGGCAUCACUGAUGUAGAUAUGUA